UAUAACUAUAUCCACUUACACCUGUGAACUGUUCUACUACUUGACGCAAGUCGAGUAUUUUUACAAACAAUGUGUAAUGAACGUCGUUUUAUUAUAACAAAAUAAAACUUUCAACAACGGAUCUCUUGGCUCUCGCAUCGAUGAAGAACGCAGCGAAUUGCGAUAAGUAAUGUGAAUUGCAGAAUUCAGUGAAUCAUCGAAUCUUUGAACGCAGCUUGCGCUCUCUGGUAUUCCGGAGAGCAUGCCUGUUUCAGUGUCAUGAAAUCUCAACCACUAGGGUUUCCUAAUGGAUUGGAUUUGGGCGUCUGCGAUUUCUGAUCGCUCGCCUUAAAAGAGUUAGCAAGUUUGACAUUAAUGUCUGGUGUAAUAAGUUUCACUGGGUCCAUUGUGUUGAAGCGUGCUUCUAAUCGUCCGCAAGGACAAUUACUUUGACUCUGGCCUGAAAUCAGGUAGGACUACCCG
rnacentral:rRNA from 1 species